GCCUGGCUGACUCAGCUGGUAAAGACUGUGACUCUUGAUCUCAGGGUCAUGAGUUCAAACCUCAUGUUGGGUG
rnacentral:tRNA from 1 species